rnacentral:rRNA from 1 species
GAUGAACGCUAGCUACAGGCUUAACACAUGCCAGUCGAGGGGCAGCAUGGUCUUAGCUUGCUAAGGCCGAUGGCGACCGGCGCACGGGUGAGUAACACGUAUCCAACCUGCCGUCUACUCUUGGACAGCCUUCUGAAAGGAAGAUUAAUACAAGAUGGCAUCAUGAGUCCGCAUGUUCACAUGAUUAAAGGUAUUCCGGUAGACGAUGGGGAUGCGUUCCAUUAGAUAGUAGGCGGGGUAACGGCCCACCUAGUCUUCGAUGGAUAGGGGUUCUGAGAGGAAGGUCCCCCACAUUGGAACUGAGACACGGUCCAAACUCCUACGGGAGGCAGCAGUGAGGAAUAUUGGUCAAUGGGCGCAGGCCUGAACCAGCCAAGUAGCGUGAAGGAUGACUGCCCUAUGGGUUGUAAACUUCUUUUAUAAAGGAAUAAAGUCGGGUAUGUAUACCCGUUUGCAUGUACUUUAUGAAUAAGGAUCGGCUAACUCCGU